rnacentral:pre_miRNA from 1 species
AAUGAAUGCCAAGUUUCGUGAGAUAUGUUUGAUAUUCUUGGUUGUUUUAUGAAUAAUCGACCAGGAAUCAAACAUAUUAUUACGACGUUUGGUUCGAACAACAUAUGUCAUAUU